UACGUAGGGUGCAAGCGUUAAUCGGAAUUACUGGGCGUAAAGCGUGCGCAGGCGGUUAUGUAAGACAGAUGUGAAAUCCCCGGGCUCAACCUGGGAACUGCAUUUGUGACUGCAUAGCUAGAGUACGGUAGAGGGGGAUGGAAUUCCGCGUGUAGCAGUGAAAUGCGUAGAUAUGCGGAGGAACACCGAUGGCGAAGGCAAUCCCCCUGGACCUGUACUGACGCUCAUGCACGAAAGGCGUGGGGAGCAAACAGG
rnacentral:rRNA from 1 species